rnacentral:rRNA from 3 species
GGACUACCCGGGUAUCUAAUCCCGUUUGCUCCCCUAGCUUUCGCGCCUCAGCGUCAGAAGAGGUCCAGCAGGCCGCUUUCGCCACCGGCGUUCCUUCCGAUAUCAACGCAUUUCACCGCUCCACCGGAAGUUCCACCUGCCCCUACCUCCCUCCAGCCGAUCCGUAUCCAAGGCACUUUUCCGGUUGAGCCGAAAGCUUUCACCCCGGACGUGAUCGACCGCCUACGCGCCCUUUAAGCCCAGUGAUUCCGAACAACGUUCGCACGGUUCGUCUUACCGCGGCUGCUGGCAC